rnacentral:rRNA from 1 species
AUUGAACGCUGGCGGCAUGCCUUACACAUGCAAGUCGAACGGCAGCGCGGGGCAACCUGGCGGCGAGUGGCGAACGGGUGAGUAAUAUAUCGGAACGUACCCUGGAGUGGGGGAUAACGUAGCGAAAGUUACNNUAAUACCGCAUACGAUCUAAGGAUGAAAGUGGGGGAUCGCAAGACCUCAUGCUCCUGGAGCGGCCGAUAUCUGAUUAGCUAGUUGGUAGGGUAAAAGCCUACCAAGGCAUCGAUCAGUAGCUGGUCUGAGAGGACGACCAGCCACACUGGAACUGAGACACGGUCCAGACUCCUACGGGAGGCAGCAGUGGGGAAUUUUGGACAAUGGGCGCAAGCCUGAUCCAGCAAUGCCGCGUGAGUGAAGAAGGCCUUCGGGUUGUAAAGCUCUUUUGUCAGGGAAGAAACGGGUUUUUCUAAUACAGAGAUCUAAUGACGGUACCUGAAGAAUAAGCACCGGCUAACUACGUGCCAGCAGCCGCGGUAAUACGUAGGGUGCAAGCGUUAAUCGGAAUUACUGGGCGUAAAGCGUGCGCAGGCGGUUUUGUAAGACUGUCGUGAAAUCCCCGGGCUCAACCUGGGAAUGGCGAUGGUGACUGCAAGGCUAGAGUUUGGCAGAGGGGGGUAGAAUUCCACGUGUAGCAGUGAAAUGCGUAGAUAUGUGGAGGAACACCGAUGGCGAAGGCAGCCCCCUGGGUCAAAACUGACGCUCAUGCACGAAAGCGUGGGGAGCAAACAGGAUUAGAUACCCUGGUAGUCCACGCCCUAAACGAUGUCUACUAGUUGUCGGGUUUUAAUUAACUUGGUAACGCAGCUAACGCGUGAAGUAGACCGCCUGGGGAGUACGGUCGCAAGAUUAAAACUCAAAGGAAUUGACGGGGACCCGCACAAGCGGUGGAUGAUGUGGAUUAAUUCGAUGCAACGCGAAAAACCUUACCUACCCUUGACAU